rnacentral:rRNA from 1 species
UACGGAGGGUGCGAGCGUUGUCCGGAAUCACUGGGCGUAAAGGGCGCGUAGGUGGUAACUUAAGCGUGUGGUGAAAGCCCGGGGCUCAACCUCGGGUCGGCCAUGCGAACUGGGUCACUUGAGCACUGUAGAGGCAGGUGGAAUUCCGAGUGUAGCGGUGGAAUGCGUAGAGAUCCGGAAGAACACCGGUGGCGAAGGCGGCCUGCUGGGCAGUUGCUGACACUGAGGCGCGACAGCGUGGGGAGCAAACAGG